CCAACCCGGACUUGGUGCUCCAGGUCGCGGUCAGACUGGGUGAACCCCCAAGAGUGGGAAGAGCGCGGGCGCCGACUUCCGAGAGGGAAAUGGGCCGGGCAGGAUACCUGCCCCAGUGACCUUGAAUGAUUCCGAAAGGCGGUUUCCUUCCUUCUACUCUUGGACCAAGAGCUUUGAGUAGAGCUGACAACUCACCCAACUGA